rnacentral:rRNA from 1 species
GACGACGUAGCGGACGAGGUACUUAAUACAUGGCAAGGUCGGAGGGCAUACGAAGGUACACGAAAGUGUAUUGUUGGUCGACCGGCGGACGGGUGAGUAAUAGGUAGGUAACCUACCUCAUACUGAGGCAUAGCUGGGAGAAAUUCCAGGUAAUUCCUCAUGAGGUUAUAUGACACAUGUGAUAUAAUCAAAGGUAUCGCAAGGUACUGGUAUGAGAUGGGCUUACUGACCAUUAGCUAGUUGGUGAGAUAAGAGCUCACCAAGGCGAAGAUGGUUAGGGGUUUUGAGAGAGAGAUCCCCCACAUUGGAACUGAGAUACGGUCCAGACUCCUACGGGAGGCAGCAGUAGGGAAUAUUGGGCAAUGGGCGGAAGCCUGACCCAGCCAUGCCGCGUGAAGGAAGACGGCCUUAUGGGUUGUAAACUUCUUUACUAUGCGACUAACUAGAUUUACGAGAUAAUUCUAUAGAAUGUAGCAUAGCAAAAAGCACCGGCUAACUCCGUG